rnacentral:rRNA from 1 species
UGGGGAAUCUCGCGCAAUGGGCGAAAGCCUGACGCAGCGACGCCGCGUGGGGGAUGAAGGGCUUCGGCUCGUAAACCCCUGUUGCCCGGGACGAACUUCUGGUUUCGACCAGAUUGACGGUACCGGGUGAGGAAGCACCGGCUAACUCCGUGCCAGCAGCCGCGGUAAUACGGAGGGUGCGAGCGUUGUCCGGAAUCACUGGGCGUAAAGGGCGCGUAGGUGGCCCGGCAAGCGUGCGGUGAAAGUUCGAGGCUCAACCUCGAAUCGGCCGUGCGAACUGCUGGGCUGGAGCACUGUAGAGGCAGAUGGAAUUCCGGAUGUAGCGGUGGAAUGCGUAGAGAUCCGGAAGAACACCGGUGGCGAAGGCGGAUCUCUGGGCCAUUACUGACGCUGAGGAGCGAAAGCGUGGGGAGCGAACAG